rnacentral:lncRNA from 1 species
CUAGCAGUUUCCUGGAAAGAAAAUAUAAGAUUGCAGACAGAGAAUCAAAUGGAAGUUUGGGCUUUUUUGCUUUUUUUGGCUGUAUAUGGAUUAGUGUCUUUUUUUGUUGGAGAUGAGAUUUUACAACUCAUCUAUAUUAUUGCUCAUCUCAGACAUGCUCCUGAAAUAUGUCGGAUCCUUGGUUUUACAGCUAAGGUCCCUGGUAAGUUCUCUAACAAUCCACUCGACAUCUCUCUCUCUCUCUCUCUCUCACUCUGUGUGUGUGUGUGUGUGUAUUGGCAUAUUCCAUGUGAUGUGUGUGCAUUUGUGAAUCAUAUAUGCAAUUUUGAGUAUGUUAUUUGCAUUGUUCCUAUCUUCUUUGACUUAUUGUGUGUGUUUUCCAGUGUACUUGUUAGUUUUUGGUUUUCUGAACAUGUUCAUUUUCGUGUUUUAUUCACAUUAUGAUAUUUUUAUUUACUUUUGCAUGCUUAACAUGAAUUUUGUUGCUUGGAAAAUUGUAGCCAUUAGAUAUUGUUCCUCCUAUAUAAAAAUUGUCUGUAUUUUCUGGUGGUUUAUAAAGUGGAAUAUUAGAAAUAUGGGUGUUUCAGUUAGAAGCAAGUGUCUUAGGAUUUGGAUUGAAUUGGUGCUGUAUAUUAAGGUUGAAAGCAAAAUGGUGAUUGUUUUGUUUUCCUCCAUGAACCUUGAGUGCUUGUUUUGACAGCUAUUUCUUGCAUUAGUUUAUCAUACUUAUUAACUGAGAAAGAUUCUUCUAAUAUGACAAGUGAAUAUAAACUAGUAAUUUGGUAAUAUUUCUUCAUAAAAGAUGAUGCAUUAUGUGAUUUUUCUGAAAAACCAUGCAUUCCAUGAUUUUUGUGCAAAACCAAGUAAAAGCUUUUAGGAAGUGAAGACGAGUUCAAUUUGUAAUGGUAUUAUUAUCCGUCAGAUGGACUGUCAUAAAACAGAUUAUAGCUCUAAUACUCGGUGUUUCCAAAUUGUUGUACCAUUGUCCAUGUUCGAAGUCACUUGAUUAUGAUUUCGUUUUCCCUUUGUUUCUCUUUUUUGUUUUAUGUUGAUUUUGCCAUCCAUUUUGCAGUUAAGUGCAUGAAGGCUGCAACUGUUUUUUUUUUUUUUCUUUUUUAUAAAAAAAUCUAUUUUUUCUUUUCCCAGUGUUGGUUCAGAAUCUUCUUGGAAGGGAGCAAUAUAUAGAGGCUGCUAGAUUUAGUUGUGCAUAUGGGCUAAUUGAACAUUUCCCUCCGCAACACAUCCUGCAAAAGCACUUGCAGAGUAUAAGGAGGAGGGCCUGCAUCUCCAUGAACAGAAAGGAUUUGCCUGAAGCUCAGGCAUGUCAAAUGCUUCUUUUUCCCUGCUAAUUUCAUCUGCUUCCCAGUCACUGAUCCAAUUGCCAUUACACAUACGCACACGUGUUGUUCAUGUACAUGGAAAUCAUAUUUGUUUAAUACAGAUCUUAUUGCAGGUUGAGGCCAUAAAUAAAGAAGUACGUGCUCUUAGAGCCAUGUCAGCCUGCAUGGCAGAUUUCAAGCUUGAUUCCAAAAUUCUGACUCAAAACAUCACAGAACUCAUUGUUGAGCUGGAAAAGCAAAAGGCAAGCAUCAGAAGCUUUCCACCAGCCACUCCUAUUGUUCAACCACAACUGCAAGGUGGAAUCAAUCACACUAUCGGCACAUCUAGCCCCAAGCCACAGCUACGCAACCGGGACUCGACGGAUAGAUUGCAAUUCCAGGGUAAUAACAAGCGUCUCAAAAUGAGCGUUCUAAGAUUGUAGCUUGCUUCUGGGGAAAAAAAAGGCUCUGCUAGCUGUAGGUUGUUUCUAUCAUAGGGCUGUAGCAGAAGCUUGAGAGUAAAGAAUAUGCUUUGUUGUGAAGUUCCAUAGAUGGCCGCCACUUUGUACACGAACCAAAAGCAGCUAAAAUGAAGUAUAUUUAACGAUUUUCUAUAGUGUCUUGUAUGUGUGCAUUGCCAUAUCUUUCUAGCCUUUGCCCUCGUUAUUGUGUUAAUCUUGAUAUUGAACCAUGAAAUUUUAUUUUGCAAUUAUAAUAAUGUGAAAUCCCACAACAAAUUGCCAUAAUUUCUCUAAUUAUUCUAUUUCUCAUAUGGGCCAAGCGAGGCAAGUUUAAACUUAACCCAGCCCAUUAGAAGCAAACAGACACUUGUCCGUUAUCGAUUCCAUAUCACAGUCCGUCAUUCUAUCCUACGCUAGAAACCUUCUGUUCCAAGUUUCAAGGGUGCUCCCUUGCCUUUCCCCUCCUUGGACGGAUACAGUGAUUCCCUCCAUUUUUUGUUUCUCCUCGUCUGUUCCAAGUAUCUGUCUUUUUUUCCCCUGACAUGGAAAUUCAUUGGUCCUCUAUUAGGCUUGCGAUGAAUGAAGAUUUGGAUUUGUGUUCGUUAAAAGUUAUAAUUUUAACACUAAUUAGAAAAAAAAAAAACCUAUACAUGGAGGCUAUUCGGUUUCACCCGAAUCAAUAGCUAUUAUACAAUGAUAUUUAUUAUAAAAUUUCUCCAGGCAAUAAUUAUAUUAUAAAAUUAAUUUCUUCAGAAUUAUUAAUAUAUGGGUGUAUCAAAGAUUACAAGAUUGAAUCUAAACUGUCACCCGAGAACCUGAAGCAACAAAUACCAUACCUGGACUAUGCAAAUUCAACUACGGAAGCUAUAUUGCUGCUGCCAUUUGUGGCGCUGCACCUCAAUCCUGAGUCCAGCAGAAGUCCUGCGCCCAUCUACUCAGCCGGAGCUCGAGGGGUAGAUUGCAAUUCCAGGGCAAUAACAAGCGUCCUAAGAUUGUAGCUUUGCUCCAGGGGAAAAAUACAGGCUCUGCUAGCUAGCUUCUUGCUGAGUUUUUAUUAUAGGGCUUUUUCCGGUUGAUCUUUACUUUCUUACAGCACUCCAUGCUCUCUCUUUUGCUGCAGCAGAAGCUUGAGGAGCAAUCUGCUUGUUAACCCUUGUAGUGAAGUUCCAUCUUAGAUGGCCAGCCAGCUCCUUUGUACACGAACCAAAAGCAGCUAAAUCAAAGCAUAUUUAACUAUGUUUUAUAGUGUCUCGUAUGCUUGCAUUGUCCUUUCUUUCUAGUAUCUGCCCUCAAUAUUGUGUUAAUCUAGUGAUACCUAUUACCUGGUAACAAAUGUACAGCUU